GUUAUAGCUGUUACGAACGGGAAGCAGACGUAUGGUACUGGCAGGCGUCGGCACUGCCUUGACUUCAUCAACGACACCGAAGCAUUUGAGUUCAUAUUGAGUAUUGAUGCACGAACUAGUGGAAGCUCAAUUAUAGUUCUACAUUAUCUUUACGGAACAUGACGAAGUAUAAAGGGGAGAGCAUAAUCGCAUUCUUCCUCAUCGAAAACAAUAGGAAAACAGAUGUUGUGAAGUUCCUCCGUAUCCCGAAUUCGAAGAUGAAUUAAAAAGAAAAACUUUCAAAUAUAGCUAACCCAGCACUUAACGAUUCAGUAAGAGAAUCGGAUUUUUCAAGAAAACAUAAAAGAAAGAAGUGUGUGGAUCAUAAGCAGAACGCCAAGAAUUCUAAAAUUGAUGUCAGAUUUUAUGUAUUUGCUAAACAUUUCAUCAAACGUAAAUUCCAUUAACAACCACAUGUUGUGUUGAAGAGGAUAAUUUGACUAACGGACAUAAAGAAUCGGAUCAGAAACAAACGUGUACUCCAGAGAAUCGUUACAGUCGUAAGAAUCGGAGGAAGUAAAUGGAAGAUUACGUUAUUUAUAAAUGCAAUUGUAUGAAAUAAUGUUAAGGGUUAAUUAUGUUAAAUUGGUAAACUGUCAUCAAAAUAUUGUUAACGUAAAGGAGAGAUGUAGUAGGCUGUAAUAUAUGUAGAACGUUAUAGUAGACUUUUGACAUGAGUAAAUAAAUCACUUCGACUUUGG